rnacentral:rRNA from 1 species
AUUGAACGCUGGCGGCAGGCCUAACACAUGCAAGUCGAGCGGAUGAAGGGAGCUUGCCCCUGGAUUCAGAGUCGGACGGGUGAGUAAUGCCUAUGAAUCUGCCUGGCAGUGGGGGAUAACGUCCGGAAACGGGCGCUAAUACCGCAUAAGUCCUGAGGGAGAAAGUGGGGGAUCUUCGGACCUCACGCUAUCAGAUGAGCCUAGGUCGGAUUAGCUAGUUGGUGGGGUAAAGGCCUACCAAGGCGACGAUCCGUAACUGGUCUGAGAGGAUGAUCAGUCACACUGGAACGGAGACACGGUCCAGGCUCCUGCGAGAGGCAGCAGUGGGGAACGUUGGACAGUAGGCGAAAGCCUUGUCCAGCGAUGGCGCGUGUGUGAAGAAGGUCUUCGGAUUGUAAAGAACUUUAUGUUGGGAGAAAGCGCAGUAAGUUAAUACGUUGCGGUUUUGACGGUACCAACAGAAUAAGCACCGGCUAACUUCGUG